rnacentral:rRNA from 1 species
AUUGAACGCUGGCGGCAGGCCUAACACAUGCAAGUCGAGCGAGCGGCGGACGGGUGAGUAAUGUAUGGGGACUGCCCGAUAGAGGGGGAUAACUACUGGAAACGGUGGCUAAUACCGCAUACUAUCGGAUAACCCAUAUGGGAUUAGCUAGUAGGGGGGGUAAAGGCUCACCUAGGCGACGAUCUCUAGCUGGUCUGAGAGGAUGAUGAGCCACACUGGGACGGAGACACGGCCAAGCCGCCUACGGAGGAAGCAGUGGGGAAAAUUGCACAAUGGGCGAAAGCCGGAUGCAGCCAGGCCGCGGGUAUGAAGAGGGCCUUAGGGUUGUAAAGUACUUUCAGCGGGGAGGCGUUACCCGAAGAAGAAGCACCGGCUAACUCCGUGCCAGCAGCCGCGGUAAUUC